rnacentral:sRNA from 1 species
AACUGUGUUGUACAAAAAUAAGGCAUUGUCCUUAAUUACAAGAGUUUUCCUUUUCUAAUAUAUAUUUAUUAUUUGAAAAAAUUAAACGUUUCAAAGAAAAAAUGCUUUUAAAAAAUUAUUUUGUUAUAUAUGGCUUAUAUCUCAACAUUUUAUUUUGAUUAUUUGCUUUUUAAACUCAUGACACUGUUUUAUUUUUUUUCAUUGUCCUGCAAUUUCAGAGCAUGUAACUUCUAAUGCCAGCGAUAGUGAAAGUAGUUACCGUGGUCAAGAAGAAUACGUCUUAUCUUAUGAACCAGUGAAUCAACAAGAAGUUAAUUAUACUCGACCAGUGAUCAUAUUGGGACCUAUGAAAGACAGGAUAAAUGAUGACUUGAUCUCAGAAUUUCCUGACAAAUUUGGAUCCUGUGUUCCU